CUGAUUUUUCUCGCCAUUCCUGGAAUGGUGGGUUAGCGCGCGUCCUCUGGUCAGUUUCCGCAAGAACCCGUCGCUGAGGCGGGUUUU
rnacentral:sRNA from 1 species